rnacentral:rRNA from 1 species
UACGAAGGGGGCUAGCGUUGUUCGGAAUUACUGGGCGUAAAGGGCGCGUAGGCGGCACCACAAGUCACUUGUGAAAUCUCCGGGCUUAACUCGGAACGGCCAAGUGAAACUGUGGAGCUAGAGUGUGGAAGGGGCAAUCGGAAUUCUUGGUGUAGCGGUGAAAUGCGUAGAUAUCAAGAGGAACACCUGAGGUGAAGACGGGUUGCUGGGCCAACACUGACGCUGAGGCGCGAAAGCCAGGGGAGCAAACGGG